ensembl:lncRNA
GGGAGGGGGAUGAAGGAAGAUGGAACUCAGCCAAAUUUCCAAAUUAUUUCCCCCCCCUCUUCCUUUUAAAUACACAGAAAUUGACAUUCUUUCCACACGGAAAGUGCUUGAACUGUAUGUUUUUGUAACAUAUCUUUUCAUUGACAAAGUCACGGCUGCUCUCUGUAAUCACCGGUAUGGCAGGAAAGCGGCAUCCUUUGGGGGAAACCAUCCGAGAGGAGAGGGGAGCUUUUCUUCUUCUGUUUUUUUUUUUUUUUUUUAACAUGUGGGUCAGCUUUUAACAACAGUCUUUGGUCUCUCAACUGAAAAUAGACCCUCAUAUUGUUCUGGUGUUCUUCAGACCACAAAGUCCCUCACACCCAUUUCUCACAAAGUUUUUAGAGCAAACAAAGAAAAGCCAGGAGGCUGCUCCAACCGGACAUGAAACAUGUUUACGAUCAUGUAAAAAAAAAAUAGCGGCUAUAAAAUUAAACUGUAAUAUAACCUGAGGCCAUCGAGUCAAAAUACUUGGUAGAACAUAAGUGCACAACUUAUAUCCAGGAUCACUUUGGAGUACAUACUUUCUUUUGAAUUUGAAGGAACUCCUUUCAUGUGCCGUGCUGAUUUACUGCUACGUCCUAAUUCGUGCUUAACUUAUAGUUUUUGGUACUUGUUCAGGUCAUAUGCCCAUUCCGAACUCGUCUUGCGUUUGUGAGUCACGCAGAUGAAAUGUUGCUCUCUUUCCAGCAGACACUGUUAAUCCACAGAAAGGGGCACAGCUGUAUUUAACAGAUGUUCUAUUAAAUGUGCGCAGCCUUGUGCUCUGUGUUGUCGGGAAAAUGCCUCAAAGACACCGACGAAUACAUCGCAGAGGCGUCUCCUUUAAAGUGGUGACACGUUCUGUGGAUGACAAGUCCCCAGUCCGGCUCUCAGCAUGAGCUGCAUGACUAUUAUCACUGUCUACUCUUUUAAACCUCAAACUUCCUUUAUGGUAAAUCGAGCUUUUGUUUUCUGAGGGUACUUUCAUUUGGCUACAUUCACUGCUGUUAUUUAAAAAGAAUAGUGGGAUAUUUUGGAAAAUACGUUGUUUGACAUAGAACUUGAUUGAGAGUUAAUACCCUCAUAUGCGGAUUAAAGUGUUACUUUUGGGAAAGUGCACUUUAAAAAAAAUGUUUGUACCAAAAGUCAAAUGAAAUCAUUGGCCUCCCACUAUUGCCUGGAUGGUAAAUAUGAAUAGGAAGUUUAGCAACUAAGUUAGCAUUAAGACGCGGAUUUGUUUUUUUCUUAUCACCCCACCGGGACCUCUAAAAGUCCCAGUGUAACAAGCCACGUUUUGAUUGUCUUACAUCUACAGAAAAUAAAAAGUAAAAAUCACAAGUUGUUUCACAAGCAGUUACUUGAAGGCUGAUCUGUCACUGCACCAAUUUACUACAAAUAAAACAGUCCAACCCAUAGAACCCCCUUAAAACAAUUAUUUUACAGUUCUUGUUUUUUAAGUGUUCAACAAAGCAAAUAAAACAUUUUGAUGGUGAGCUUAA